AGCGGACAGAUGGGAGCUUGCUCCCUGAUGUUAGCGGCGGACGGGUGAGUAACACGUGGGUAACCUGCCUGUAAGACUGGGAUAACUCCGGGAAACCGGGGCUAAUACCGGAUGGUUGUUUGAACCGCAUGGUUCAAACAUAAAAGGUGGCUUCGGCUACCACUUACAGAUGGACCCGCGGCGCAUUAGCUAGUUGGUGAGGUAAGGGCUCACCAAGGCAACGAUGCGUAGCCGACCUGAGAGGGUGAUCGGCCACACUGGGACUGAGACACGGCCCAGACUCCUACGGGAGGCAGCAGUAGGGAAUCUUCCGCAAUGGACGAAAGUCUGACGGAGCAACGCCGCGUGAGUGAUGAAGGUUUUCGGAUCGUAAAGCUCUGUUGUUAGGGAAGAACAAGUACCGUUCGAAUAGGGCGGUACCUUGACGGUACCUAACCAGAAAGCCACGGCUAACUACGUGCCAGCAGCCGCGGUAAUACGUAGGUGGCAAGCGUUGUCCGGAAUUAUUGGGCGUAAAGGGCUCGCAGGCGGUUUCUUAAGUCUGAUGUGAAAGCCCCCGGCUCAACCGGGGAGGGUCAUUGGAAACUGGGGAACUUGAGUGCAGAAGAGGAGAGUGGAAUUCCACGUGUAGCGGUGAAAUGCGUAGAGAUGUGGAGGAACACCAGUGGCGAAGGCGACUCUCUGGUCUGUAACUGACGCUGAGGAGCGAAAGCGUGGGGAGCGAACAGGAUUAGAUACCCUGGUAGUCCACGCCGUAAACGAUGAGUGCUAAGUGUUAGGGGGUUUCCGCCCCUUAGUGCUGCAGCUAACGCAUUAAGCACUCCGCCUGGGGAGUAC
rnacentral:rRNA from 1 species